rnacentral:lncRNA from 1 species
UGUCAAGUUACUUCUCCUUUGGUAUUCAACUUCACCUUGUAUACCCACUUCACGUCGAUUUCCUUCUUACCUUGAGAUAAUUCGACAAAUGAUCAAGUGUUGUUAACUUCGAUGGACUUGAUUUCCCCAUUCAUUACUUUCAUCCACUUUGAAUCCUUCAAUGUCACAAUUGCAUUGACUGGUUCAACAUCUGCAUAGAAAUUAUAAUGUAUCAACUCACCUUUAUCAUUGACCACAUCAUUUGGUGUAAUCAC